CGUAGGAGGCUGAAGUGUGCAAUGAGUUCAGCAUGUUGCUAGGCCUUGAGUGGUGCAGCGGGGGCUGUAUUGACGUGGAGUCACAAUUUAGCAAGUGCGUUUACAGGAGGCAGAUCAUUGCACAGUUUGUUCAGCAGAUCGGAGUAGUCCAAGGGGAUGGUGGUCUCCGAAACAAAGAGAGAUGUUGCUCCAAUGGGACAGUUAUCCAGG
rnacentral:lncRNA from 1 species